rnacentral:rRNA from 1 species
UAGUGGCGAACGGGUGAGUAACACGUGGGCAAUCUGCCCUUCACUCUGGGACAAGCCCUGGAAACGGGGUCUAAUACCGGAUAACACUCUGUCCCGCAUGGGACGGGGUUGAAAGCUCCGGCGGUGAAGGAUGAGCCCGCGGCCUAUCAGCUUGUUGGUGGGGUGAUGGCCUACCAAGGCGACGACGGGUAGCCGGCCUGAGAGGGCGACCGGCCACACUGGGACUGAGACACGGCCCAGACUCCUACGGGAGGCAGCAGUGGGGAAUAUUGCACAAUGGGCGAAAGCCUGAUGCAGCGACGCCGCGUGAGGGAUGACGGCCUUCGGGUUGUAAACCUCUUUCAGCAGGGAAGAAGCGAGAGUGACGGUACCUGCAGAAGAAGCGCCGGCUAACUACGUGCCAGCAGCCGCGGUAAUACGUAGGGCGCAAGCGUUGUCCGGAAUUAUUGGGCGUAAAGAGCUCGUAGGCGGCUUGUUGCGUCGGUUGUGAAAGCCCGGGGCUUAACCCCGGGUCC